rnacentral:rRNA from 1 species
UACGUAGGGUCCGAGCGUUGUCCGGAAUUAUUGGGCGUAAAGAGCUCGUAGGCGGUUUGUCGCGUCUGCUGUGAAAGAUCGGGGCUCAACUCCGGUUCUGCAGUGGGUACGGGCAGACUAGAGUGCAGUAGGGGAGACUGGAAUUCCUGGUGUAGCGGUGAAAUGCGCAGAUAUCAGGAGGAACACCGAUGGCGAAGGCAGGUCUCUGGGCUGUAACUGACGCUGAGGAGCGAAAGCAUGGGGAGCGAACAGG